CCUACGGGUGGCAGCAGUGAGGAAUAUUGGUCAAUGGACGAGAGUCUGAACCCGCCAAGUAGCGUGAAGGAUGACUGCCCUAUGGGUUGUAAACUUCUUUUAUAAAGGAAUAAAACGAGGCACGUGUGCCUUUUUGCAUUUACUUUCUGAUUACGGCUCGGCUAACUCCGUGCCAGCAGCCGCGGUAAUCCGGAGGAUCCGAGCGUUAGCCGGAUGUAUUGGGUUUAAAGGGAGCGUAGAUGGGUUGUUAAGUCAGUUGUGAAAGUUUGCGGCUCAACAGUAAAAUUGCAAUUGAUACUGGCAGUCUUGAGUACAGUUGAGGUAGGCGGAAUUCGUGGGGUAGCGGUGAAAUGCUUAGAUAUCACGAAGAACUCCGAUUGCGAAGGCAGCUUACUAAACUGCCACUGACAUUGAUGCUCGAAAGUGUGGGUAUCAAACAGGAUUAGAUACCCCGGUAGUC
rnacentral:rRNA from 1 species